rnacentral:rRNA from 1 species
GACAGAGGGUGCAAGCGUUGUCCGGAAUUAUUGGGCGUAAAGAGCUCGUAGGCGGUCUGUUGCGUCGGCUGUGAAAACCCGGGGCUCAACUCCGGGCCUGCAGCCGAUACGGGCAGACUAGAGUUCGGCAGGGGAGACUGGAAUUCCUGGUGUAGCGGUGAAAUGCGCAGAUAUCAGGAGGAACACCGGUGGCGAAGGCGGGUCUCUGGGCCGAUACUGACGCUGAGGAGCGAAAGCGUGGGGAGCGAACAGG